CCUACGGGAGGCAGCAGUGAGGAAUAUUGGUCAAUGGACGAGAGUCUGAACCAGCCAAGUAGCGUGAAGGAUGACUGCCCUAUGGGUUGUAAACUGCUUUUAUAUGGGAAUAACAUGUUCCACGUGUAGGGUUUUGUAUGUACCAUAUGAAUAAGGAUCGGCUAAAUCCGUGCCAGCAGCCGCGGUAAUACGGAGGGUCCGAGCGUUAUCCGGAUUUAUUGGGUUUAAAGGGAGCGUAGGUCGAUUGUGAAGUCAGUUGUGAAAGUUUGCGGCUCAACCGUAAAAUUGCAGUUGAAACUGGCAGUCGUGAGUACAGUAGAGGUGGGCGGAAUUCGUGGUGUAGCGGUGAAAUGCUUAGAUAUCACGAAGAACUCCGAUUGCGAAGGCAGCUCACUGGACUGCAACUGACACUGAGGCUCGAAAGUGUGGGUAUCAAACAGGAUUAGAUACCCUUGUAGUC
rnacentral:rRNA from 1 species